GGGUCGAUAGCUCAGUUGGUAGAGCAGGGGACUUUUAAUCCUCUGGCCCAGGGUUCGAGUCCCUGUCGACCCA
rnacentral:tRNA from 1 species